rnacentral:rRNA from 1 species
CCUACGGGCGGCUGCAGUGGGGAAUAUUGGACAAUGGGGGGAACCCUGAUCCAGCCAUGCCGCGUGUGUUAAGAAGGCCCUCGGGUUGUAAAGCACUUUCAGUGAGGAAGAACGCCUGGUGGUUAAUACCCAUCAGGAAAGACAUCACUCACAGAAGAAGCACCGGCUAACUCCGUGCCAGCAGCCGCGGUAAUACGGAGGGUGCGAGCGUUAAUCGGAAUUACUGGGCGUAAAGCGCGCGUAGGUGGCUUGAUAAGCCGGUUGUGAAAGCCCCGGGCUCAACCUGGGAACGGCAUCCGGAACUGUCAAGCUAGAGUGCAGGAGAGGAAGGUAGAAUUCCCGGUGUAGCGGUGAAAUGCGUAGAGAUCGGGAGGAAUACCAGUGGCGAAGGCGGCCUUCUGGACUGACACUGACACUGAGGUGCGAAAGCGUGGGUAGCAAACAGGAUUAGAUACCCUGGUAGUC